UUAAAUUGAAGAGUUUGAUCAUGGCUCAGAUUGAACGCUGGCGGCAGGCCUAACACAUGCAAGUCGAACGGUAGCACAGAGAGCUUGCUCUCGGGUGACGAGUGGCGGACGGGUGAGUAAUGUCUGGGAGACUGCCUGAUAGAGGGGGCUAACUACUGGAAACGGUAGCUAAUACCGCAUAAUGUCGCAAGACCAAAGAGGGGGACCUUCGGGCCUCUUGCCAUCAGAUGUGCCCAGAUGGGAUUAGCUAGUAGGUGGGGUAACGGCUCACCUAGGCGACGAUCCCUAGCUGGUCUGAGAG
rnacentral:rRNA from 1 species